rnacentral:rRNA from 1 species
GAGGAAUAUUGGUCAAUGGACGAGAGUCUGAACCAGCCAAGUCGCGUGAAGGAAGACGGCCCUACGGGUUGUAAACUUCUUUUGUAAGGGAAUAAAAAGUCUUACGGGAUAAGACGUUGCAGGUACCUUACGAAUAAGGAUCGGCUAACUCCGUGCCAGCAGCCGCGGUAAUACGGAGGAUCCGAGCGUUAUCCGGAUUUAUUGGGUUUAAAGGGUGCGCAGGCGGCAUGUUAAGUCGGCGGUGAAAUUUUGCAGCUCAACUGUAAAAGAGCCUUCGAAACUGGCAAGCUUGAGUGUGGAUGAAGUAGGCGGAAUUUGUGGUGUAGCGGUGAAAUGCAUAGAUAUCACAAAGAACACCGAUUGCGCAGGCAGCUUACUAAACCAUAACUGACGCUCAUGCACGAAGGCGUGGGGAUCAAAC